CCUACGGGGGGCAGCAGUGGGGAAUAUUGCACAAUGGGGGAAACCCUGAUGCAGCGACGCCGCGUGAAUGAAGAAGUAUUUCGGUAUGUAAACUUCUAUCAGCAGGGAAGAAAAUGACGGUACCUGACUAAGAAGCCCCGGCUAACUACGUGCCAGCAGCCGCGGUAAUACGUAGGGGGCAAGCGUUAUCCGGAUUUACUGGGUGUAAAGGGAGCGUAGGCGGCAGUGCAAGUCAGGAGUGAAAUCCCGGGGCUUAACUCCGGGACUGCUUUUGAAACUGUGUUGCUAGAUUGCAGGAGAGGUAAGUGGAAUUACUAGUGUAGCGGUGAAAUGCGUAGAUAUUAGGAGGAACACCAGUGGCGAAGGCGGCUUACUGGACUGUAAAUGACGCUGAGGCUCGAAAGCGUGGGGAGCAAACAGGAUUAGAUACCCGAGUAGUC
rnacentral:rRNA from 1 species